rnacentral:rRNA from 1 species
ACAGAGGUCCCGAGCGUUGUCCGGAUUCACUGGGCGUAAAGGGUGCGUAGGUGGCCUGGAAAGUUUGAUGUGAAAUCCCGCAGCUUAACUGCGGAACUGCAUUGAAUACUAUCAGGCUCGAGGAUCGGAGGGGAGACUGGAAUUCUUGGUGUAGCAGUGAAAUGCGUAGAUAUCAGGAGGAAUACCGAUGGCGAAGGCAGGUCUCAGGGCUGACACUGACGCUCAUGCACGAAAGCGUGGGGAGCAAACAGGA